CGCGGGGUGGAGCAGCUUGGUAGCUCGUCGGGCUCAUAACCCGAAGGUCGUUGACGGAUCACCGCCCGGUACAAAUCCAGCCCCGCAACCA
rnacentral:tRNA from 1 species